rnacentral:rRNA from 1 species
AGAGUUUGAUCCUGGCUCAGAUUGAACGCUGGCGGAAUGCUUUACACAUGCAAGUCGAACGGCAGCACGGGGGCAACCCUGGUGGCGAGUGGCGAACGGGUGAGUAACACAUCGGAACGCGUCCUGUAAUGGGGGAUAACCUGGCGAAAGUCAGGCUAAUACCGCAUACGUCCUGAGGGAGAAAGCGGGGGAUUGGCAACGACCUCGCGUUAUAGGAGCGGCCGAUGUCGGAUUAGCUAGUUGGUGGGGUAAAGGCCUACCAAGGCGACGAUCCGUAGCGGGUCUGAGAGGACGGCCCGCCACACUGGGACUGAGACACGGCCCAGACUCCUACGGGAGGCAGCAGUGGGGAAUAUUGGACAAUGGGCGCAAGCCUGAUCCAGCAAUGCCGCGUGUGUGAAGAAGGCCUUCGGGUUGUAAAGCACUUUUAUCGGGAGCGAAAAGCGGGCGGUGAAUACCCGUCCGUGCUGACGGUACCCGAGGAAUAAGCACCGGCUAACUCUGUGCCAGCAGCCGCGGUAAUACAGAGGGUGCGAGCGUUAAUCGGAAUUACUAGGGCGUAAAGCGCACGUUGGCGUCUAUGGCACGUCGGGUGUGCCAAAUCCACCUGCCUCAACACUGGGAAGUGACAUCCGAAACUGGCGUGUUAGAGUAUGGGAGAGAGAAAGUCGAAUAUCCGGUGWAGCGGUGAAAUGCGUAGAUAUCGGAAGGAACAUCAGCGGCGAAGGGCGACUUCCUGGACCAAUACUGACGCUCAGGUGCGAAAGCGUGGCGGAGCAAACAGGAUUAGAUACCCUGGGUAGUGCACUCCAUAAACGAUGACAAUUGGAUGUCGGGAGGGUUUGCCUUCCGGUGUAGUAGCUAACGCGUUAAGUUGUCCGCCUGGGAAGUACGGCCGCAAGGUUGAAACUCAAAGGAAUUGACGGGGCCCCGCACAAGCGGUGGAGCAUGUGGUUUAAUUCGAUGCAACGCGAAGACCCUUACCUGGUCUUGACAUCCUGGGAAUCCUGCAGAGAUGCGGGAGUGCCUUCGGGAACCUGGAGACAGGUGGUGCAUGGCUGUUGUCAGCUCGUGUCGUGAGAUGUUGGGUUAAGUCCCGCAACGAGCGCAACCCUUGUCGUUAAUUGCCAUCAUUUAGUUGGUCACUUUAACGAGACUGCCGGUGACAAACCGGAGGAAGGUGGGGAUGACGUCAAGUCCUCAUGGCCCUUAUGGGUAGGGCUUCACACGUCAUACAAUGGUCGGUACAAAGGGUCGCCAACCCGCGAGGGGGAGCCAAUCCCAUAAAGCCGAUUGUAGUCCGGAUUGUAGGCUGCAACUCGCCUGCAUGAAGUCGGAAUCGCUAGUAAUCGUGGAUCAGCAUGUCACGGUGAAUACGUUCCCGGGUCUUGUACACACCGCCCGUCACACCAUGGGAGCGGGUUCCGCCAGAAGUAGGUAGCCUAACCGCAAGGGGGGCGCUUACCACGGCGGGGUUCGUGAGGGGGGUGAAGUCGUAACAAGGUAACC